CUUGUUUCUCCUGAAGGCAAAGGCUGGAGGGUAGCUGGGUUAGAGCAGAAAGACAAAGGAAGUUGAUGGAGACAUGAGAACAUUCUGGAAGGGCUCUGAGUAGUUUCAAAGGCUUGAGAGGCUGGAUUUCAUCAAGACAUAUGAUUUUCCUGGGCAUACUUCAUUCUUAGAAUCCGUCACAUCCAUUGGAAGUACCCGGAGAGGGAAACUGAGGCAGAGACACACAGAGGCCCACAGAGAACAAAAUCCUGUCAGAGACAAAUGGCAGACCUUGUUUUCAUGGUUAACAAGGAAGAGGUGAUAGGAAGGAAUUUCAGGGAGAAAAAGUGGUUUAAAAUAAGGAGAAAAGUAGUGGCUAAAGUCAUUUGAUAAAGACACAAAAUCAGAGAGAAGUCAUGAAAUGGGGACUAAGGCAACGUGUGUCUGAAAGAGCCCAUGUACAAAAAGUGCGGUGCUUCCCACUGAGAGGAGGCAACAGCGCGGGGCGGGGGGGCCAUCUCCUGGGGGCAUCGCUCCACAUACACACCCAGGCUCAUACACAGGCUCUGUCACAGACGCACAGGCUCACACGCACAGGCUCACACACACUCCCACAGACACAGGCUCACACACAGGCUCACACACACUCCCACAGACACAGGCUCACACACACUCCCACAAACACACACAGGCUCACACACACACACACACAGACUCUCACGCACAUACACACAGGCUCACACACGCUCCCACAGACACAGGCUCACACACGCUCCCACAGACACAGGCUCACACACGCUCCCACAGACACAGGCUCACACACGCUCCCACAGACACAGGCUCACACACACCCCCACAUACACACUCAGGCUCACACACACACAGACUCGCACGCACAUACACACAGGCUCACACACACUCCCACAGACACAGGCUCGCAGACACGCUCAAAGACACACACAGGCUCACACACACAGGCUCACUCUCACGCACAUACACACAGGCUCACACACACAGGCUCACACACACGCUCACAGAUACACACAGGCCCACACACACACACACAGACUCUCACGCACAUACACACAGGCUCACACACACAGGCUCACACACACGCUCACAGAUACACACAGGCCCACACACACACACACAGACUCUCACGCACAUACACACAGGCUCACACACACAGGCUCACACACACGCUCACAGAUACACACAGGCCCACACACACACACACAGACUCUCACGCACAUACACACAGGCUCACACACACAGGCUCACACACACACACACACACGCCCACACACACACACACAGACUCUCACGCACAUACACACAGGCUCACACACACUCCCACAGACACAGGCUCACACACACACUCACAGACACACACAGGCUCACACACACGCUCACAGAUACACACAGGCCCACACACACACACAGGCUCUCACACACAGACACACACAUACACAGACUCUCACGCACAUACACACAGGCUCACACACACUCCCACAGACACAGGCUCACAGACACGCUCACAGACACACACAGGCUCACAUACACAUGCUCACAGAUACACACAGGCACACACACACACACACAGGCUCUCACACACACACAGACUCUCACGCACAUACAGGCUCACACACACUCCCACAGGCUCACACACACACACAGACUCUCACGCACAUACACACAGGCUCACACACACGCUCACAGAUACACACAGGCCCACACACACACACAGGCUCUCCCACACACACAGACUCUCACGCACAUACACACAGGCUCACACACACGCUCACAGAUACACACAGGCCCACACACACACACAGGCUCUCCCACACACACAGACUCUCACGCACAUAGGCUCUCACACACACACACACAGACUCUCACGCACAUACAGGCUCACACACACUCCCACAGACACACACACACACACACACACACAGACUCUCACGCACAUACACACAGGCUCACACACAUGCUCACAGAUACACACAGGCCCACACACACACACAGGCUCUCACACACACACACAUACACAGGCCGCACGGCCUCCAGGGACCUGAAUAAGCACCACUGGGCACAUUUCGUGCGUGUCCUCCACGGACAGAGCCGCACCCGAUCUGUGCAGGGAAGGCUUCGUCCCCCCACCAGGCAGCCGUUGUGCACCGCUCUCCUCCCACGUAGAGGCUCGUGAGCACUGAGCCCACGACGGACAAACGGCUGACCUGGGGACCCG
ensembl:lncRNA